UUGACUUUCUGUCCCGACGGCGUGUCCGUGUUCAUGUAGUUGAGUGAGAAAGACGA
rnacentral:pre_miRNA from 1 species